rnacentral:rRNA from 1 species
AUUGAACGCUGGCGGCAGGCUUAACACAUGCAAGUCGAACGAGUGGCGGACGGGUGAGUAAUGUAUGGGGAUCUGCACGAUAGAGGGGGAUAACUACUGGAAACGGUGGCUAAUACCGCAUACUAUCGGAUGAACCCAUAUGGGAGUCGCUAGUAGGUGGGGUAAAGGCUCACCUAGGCGACGAUCUCUAGCUGGUCUGAGAGGAGGAUCAGCAACACUGUGACUGAGAAACGGCCCAGACUCCUACGGGAGGCAGCAGUGGGGAAUAUUGAACAAUGGGCGCAAGCCUGAUGCAGCCAUGCCGCGUGGAUGAAGAAGGCCUUAGGUUUGUAAAGUACUUUAAGCGUGGAGGCGUUACCCGCAGAAGAAGCACCGGCUAACUCCGUGCCAGCAGCCGCGGUAAUAC